rnacentral:rRNA from 1 species
GAACGCUAGCGACAGGCUUAACACAUGCAAGUCGAGGGGCAGCAUAAAAGUAGCAAUACUUGGUGGCGACCGGCGCACGGGUGAGUAACGCGUAUGCAACCUACCUAUCAGAGGGGAAUAACCCGGCGAAAGUCGGACUAAUACCGCACAAAACAGGGGCACCGCAUGGUGAUAUUUGUUAAAGAAAUUCGCUGAUAGAUGGGCAUGCGUUCCAUUAGGUAGUUGGUGAGGUAACGGCUCACCAAGCCGACGAUGGAUAGGGGAACUGAGAGGUUGGUCCCCCACACUGGUACUGAGACACGGACCAGACUCCUACGGGAGGCAGCAGUGAGGAAUAUUGGUCAAUGGGCGAGAGCCUGAACCAGCCAAGUCGCGUGAAGGAAGAAGGAUCUAUGGUUCGUAAACUUCUUUUGCAGGGGAAUAAAGUGCAGGACGUGUCCUGUUUUGUAUGUACCCUGAGAAUAAGGAUCGGCUAACUCCGUGCCAGCCGCUGC